AUAGGCCUUCUUAUUUGAAUUUGUAUGUUAGGUACAUGUAUCGGUCGAAUAUCUCUCUAGUUUGAAAUUAUUUAGAGUUUAUGUUUUAGGUUUAAAUUAUUUAAUUUUAAAGUAGUAAUUUAACAUUCGAGUCAAAUGUAUUUGUCAAUAUGGCCGAAGCUGUAAGAUUUAUGCUACGUAUUAGUUAUUAACUACUUAAUUUAUUAAAUACCUUUUAAGUUAUCUGUCAAAUGUCUUACAUAGUCAUGACAACUAAAAAUAACAUUCGUUGAAGUGUAUCAGCUGAUGACGAACGUUUUAUUAUUCCUGUAAUCCUGAUUUCAUAAUAAAGCCUGGCAAUUAUCCAAUGUUUACGAUAUUAAUUAUCUCUGCCUCUUACAAUAUAUUAUAGAAAAUAGCGCGCUUUGAUUGACAUCCAAUUCCAAACAUCCUAUGGACGUCCAAAAAUUGGUCAUUAACGGACGUCCAAAAUUGGAAAUGCAAUUGGACAUCCUAUGGACGUCCAUUUAAUGUCCAUGGACGUGCAAACGUAAAAUGGACCUAAAAUAGAUGUCCAUAGGAUGUCCUAUGCUGUCUCGGUACAAGAUCAGUGAAACACUGUCACAAAUCAUUUAUCUGCCAAUUACCGCAGAACAUUUCGGAUUUGAUGAUACGCAUUGUCGACCUAUACGGAUGACUGCUCGACUUUCGAGGAGAAGAGAUCACCGUCAAAUUACACAUACUACGGCUACGGUGAUAAUACGUGUAUAUACGCGCAGCAUAUAAGAUGCUCGUGUUGAACGGCGCAGUCAGAGAUAACGCAGUAAUUAUAAAAGCAUUUGAUAGCAAAUUUCAAUCACCCGAUUACAUUCAUAAGAACAGAAAGCUCAACGCGUCAAACAUUGCAUUUUUACAGUCUUUGAGGUUCGCGGUGGGAAACGUGUGAAAUGACUGACAUUCUCAAUAUCGGGGAUGAGCCAAUCUUUGAUGAUCGUAUCAUCAAGAUUGAGUCUCAUACAAUUCAUAUGCCAAUACAACAUUUGAAUACAGCGCCAAGAUUAGGAUACGUAUACAACAGCAAGAUUUAUACACGCUACCGCAUAAAAGUUUUAUAUACAUUGAGGGAAAAUUUAAGAUAAAAAAACCAACUGCAGGUUCUGAUGUGGUGUUGAGAAAUAAUUGCGUCGCGUUCAUGUUCAAUGAGGUUUGAUAUGAACUCGACGGCGUGGAAAUUGAUCGCAACAGAAACGUCGGAAUAAUCAGUAAGUUCAAGAAUUAUGUUACUAUGUUUUCCAACAGAAGUGUAAUCGCGAGGAAUGCCGGUUUGGGAUCCAUGAAAUCCUCAAAAUAAAUAUUUAAAUUUUUGUGUACUUAACAUUCUAUAGGGAUUUUGCGAAAAUUAUAGAUGCAUUGUGAUUAAUGCUCGUCACGAGUUGAUUUUAAUACAAUCACGCAACGACAACAAUUGUCUAAUUGGCGAUUCAGCGCGGGAGCCGGAAAUCGAAAUGCUCAAAGUAUAGUGGCAAAUGCCGCGUGUGUUGUUGAAUGAAAUAAAUAAACUGUCAAUGCUACGUGCUCUGAAAAGCGGGAAAUACCUGAGCAUGGCUUUUUGAUCAUAGAAUCUGUACGAGUUUCCGCUAUUACAGCUCACAACAAAGCAUUCGUGGGCCAUCAAGACUGCUACUCAGCUUGAGAAACCGCGAUAUGUAAUUUUUGCUUUGCAAACUGAUCAGAAAAAUAUCAUGUCCAAGAAUGCUAGUCGAUUCAACCAUUGCAAGUUAAACAACGUGAAACUCUGCCUGAACUUGGAAUGCUAUCCAUACGACGAUAUGAACCUGGAUUUCGACAAAAACAGAUGGGUUAUUCUUUACGACACUUACGCACGUUUUUGUAAAAACUAUUACGGAUACGAUUACAUCAAGCCAAAUCAAACUGUUACAAUAUUUCGACAUAAUGGCCCUUUCAUAAUAAUUGAUUGCUCUCGGCAAAACGAAUCGGUCAAGAGCGCAACUGUGGACGUGAGAUUGGAAUUCGAAACUAAGAAGAACGUACCAACAAACACCACUGCGUUCACCCUUAUCAUUCAUAAUCUCGUGGUUCAGUACAACCUGUUGACCAACAUUGUGUGCAAAAUCAUCUAAUUCCAUAUAACAUCUACAAUACGUCUACGUAGAUUAUAGUCUUUAUUAGGAUCGCUAUAUGUCCGUAUUGACGUUCGUGGACCUGCAAGGUUUCCCCCUUAAAAGAGCAAAAAGCUUCGUCGUAAAGGAGUUUACUGCUCUCAGAGAAAAAAACGUUCUCUCGCACUACAUUUUUAUGAAUCCCAAGCCAUGGAAUUUAUUGAUAAAAUCCAAAAGGUCAUACGCUUCCUGGCUGACUGCUUAUCACCAUGGAUUGCGAUGGGAAGACGGAAUGGUCCCGUAUUGGAGAGCGAAACAGCUAAUUACAACGGCCGUACUCAGUACUGAGAAUCCCUACAAGGAUAUCAUAUACAAGAAGCACGAGAAACGAAAAUGAUUGAGGGACUUAAUUCUGGACGAUCGACGAAAUUGUGCGUACAUCGAGAACCAGGAUGCGGAUUACGAAGACGUGAAUUCUUUGAAAAAUUUAAACGCAGCUAAUACUAUGCAAUGUGGAAAACAUUAUAGAGUUAAACAUUGCGCUUUACAAAAUGUAUUUAAACUAUAUAACUGAUAGUUGCAAAACCAAAAAGAUUUUUGAAAAAAUAAAUUGUACAAACUUAAUUUACGCGUUAUUUUUUUUCCCCUGUAAAAUAAUAUUAAUACGUAGCUUUAGUUUUUAGUAUAAAAAUAGAAGAACUAUACCUUAUCUUUUUAAGACGUACUCUACAAGUCAUAGAAUAUAUCGUUUGUUCUUAAGAUGCACUAAAAGUCAUAGAAUCUUAUCCAGAAUUUGUAAUAAAAAAUUUUUUUUUAAACGAUGAAUCUUACAAAUUUUAAAACGCUCAGUAAUAAAGAGCAUGAAUAUGACAAACAAAAUAAAGGAGGGGGUUACAAAAUAAAAAAGAGGCCAAGAAACGCUACAGCAUUAGUUGCUCAGUGAAAACUCAGCUGAAAACUCUCUGAAAACUCUCCGAAAAAAUAUUUACGAGGGAAAAGAUGAACCUCAACGUUCCGUGCGCACAUGAAAUGUUUAAAAAAAAAGUAAGUAUUUAUAACUUUUUAUUUAUUUUUUGUAUUUUUUGUUUUUGCAACUUACUUAUCCAUAGUUUUAUUUACAGAAUACCAUCACCAUCGCAUUUUGGGAGGAAGAUUAUCGUUUACUGGUGAUAAAUAUCUGGGCAUUGCAAUCUGCGUGGGACCUACUCGUACGUCGUGUGUGGAGGUACUUAUUGGCGACAUCCAAGGCAAUAAAAUAAUUCUGCCUCAUGCAACGUGGCUAGCACUGUUCGAGAAACGUACGAUCAUUAAGGAAUUCAUCGUUCAGUUGACUUCGCCUUUCUCAGCAGUAUUGAUUAUUCAAGAUCUUAAUAUGCGACUCGUCAAAUUGCAUAAUGAAAUUAUUGUAAAAUUAACAUUAAACGAUACUACUUCCUUGCAUAUGAAGCUGUCAACCGUAUGCUUCAUGUUGAAGCUUGAACAUUGCGUCAGGAAUAUAUAUUACUCUUUAUAUCAAUCUACACACACAGUAAGCGAAAAAUAUAAUUACUUUGUAUCCUUUCUACGACAAAGUCGUCUUGUUUUUAAUAAAAACGGUGCGCAAAAAUUAUUGCAAGGAAAAUAUGAUAAAACCUUGAUUUUAGAUUGUAAACUGUUAACUUAGGCAUUGGACAAUAUUGUACCUGAUGCAUUACAUGAUCAAUAAAUAUGAAACAUGAUAUUGUACAUGACGCAUUAUAUGAUCAAAUAAAUAUGAAAAAAAUUAUAUUUUAAAAUGAUGUUUUCAUUAUUAUCUGUUUUCAUUAUUAUCUGUUCCUAUUCUUAACCUUUGUCCUUUAAAAGAUAGAACAAAAGUGCGCGUACGAGAUAGAAUAAAUCUUAUCAUAGGAUGCAUUCUUCGGCGUAACAAUACCAGUUAUGCCUGUGUGUCGAUUUCUGAUUUUCUUCUGUGGAUGUUACCGUUCUUUAUGCACAUAAUUUUUCGUUUUGUUUCUGCUUACGAAGGAAUAAGAUCUUCAGAAUAAAGAGCAUUAUAAUUGAUCUGCUGCCUGUGACGUACUCCGCAAAAGCAACUUUAAUGGUCCAAUGAAGAAACUUACACCGAGAAUAUAAGGCACGUCAUUUGGUUGCGAGGGCUCCGAAAUCUGCAUCUUUCCAUCCUAAAUUGAAAUAGAUGGCUACAUAAACAUCGAAGGAGCUAUAAACAGACGCUUUCAACGUCGUUGGCAUCGGAAAUGCAACGAUGGUAAGUGCGGAAUGAUCUACUUAUAGAUUACUGAGAACUGUGAAGAUUAUUCGGAGAACCGUUAUGAUGGGAGGAGCAGUUGUAGAAAUCUGAAUUAUACUGAAAAAUUAUUGAAAAUUAUGUAUAUCGUAAACUUUUAAAAAAAAAAUAUUUUUUUUACCUUUUAAAUUGCGUAGCUCAACUUCUUUACCCAUCACCUUUUCUUCAAACAAAAUACGAGAAAAGUGCGGCGGUGGAGAUAGAGUUUGGAAGAGCAAGCGCGUUUAUUUGCAACAAUAUUUUGCAAAAAUAAUAAUUUAU